AGUAACACGUUGGAACCUGCCCCAAAGUGAGGAAUAAGCCACCGAAAGGUGGUCUAAUACUUCAUAAUAUCCAUCUCGUAUGGAUUAAAGCUUUAUGCGCUUUGGGAGGGGCCUGCGUAACAUUAGCUUGUUGGUGAGGUAAAAGCUCACCAAGGCUUCGAUGUUUAACUGGUUUGAGAGGAUGACCAGUCACACUGGGACUGAGAUACGGCCCAGACUCCUACGGGAGGCAGCAGUAAGGAAUCUUCCACAAUGGGGCAACCCUGAUGGAGCAAUACCGCGUGCAGGAUGAAGCGUUUCGGCGUGUAAACUGCUUUUAUCACCGAAGAUUAUGACUGUAGGUGAAGAAUAAGGACCGGCUAACUACGUG
rnacentral:rRNA from 1 species